GGUGGCUCAAUGGUAGAGUGCUUGCCUCACAUGCAUGAGGCUUUGGGUUCAAUUCCUCAGCACCA
rnacentral:tRNA from 1 species